UCCCUCCCUAGUUCUUAUCCAUUAGAUCUAAACAUUGGUCUGAGUGGCUGUAAAAGGAGAAAACAUGAAACUAAAGCAGACCUAAGAUUCAUUAGCUACAUAGAAGUUUAUUCCAAGAAAGC
rnacentral:snoRNA from 1 species